GUUUAAGCAUUAAUUUUUCAAAUCAACUAUAUUUAUCCCUGAUCCCUGAUUAUAACCAAGAAUAUGAAGUAUUUCGUCGUUGUAUUGGUACUUUCACUCUGUGUUGCAGGAUUGCAUGCUAAAAAGCAGCAUAUGGCCCGCUAUAAUUUCGACCAGUUUUGUCCUCAUGCACAACUAAGAUGUCAUUGGUGGUGUCGAUCCUGGGGAUUUGAUAAAGGAGUGUGCGAAGGGCCUGGAGACACCAUGUGUUGGUGUUUUUGGAGUAU